AGAUAAAUAACUUGGAUAAAAGGAAAAGAGAUGCAAAUAUCACAAAUGGGCAAAGGACUUUAUUAAUAGAACGUAUAAAUAAACAUCCAGAAUUAGUACAAGCGAAAUUUCCUCAUCAUUUACAUUAAAAAAGUCCAUUAAAUUAUGGGAAGAAAUCAUCGAAAAUUUAAAUGCAGUAAAUGGACCUAAGAAAGAUUGGAAAAGUUGACGUAAGUGCUGGCACGAUUUGCGAUCACGGAGCAAAGGAAAGUAUGAAACAGUAUAAAACAGUUUAUGACAGCAACAGGAGGCGGUGAAAAAAGUAUAAUAUUAACACUGCAAGAAGAACAAAUUCUUAAUUUAAUGUUUUCAACUAGUUUUCAACUAGUAGUUUUGAAGGAUAUCCUGACAUAGAAGAAAUCACUGUAAAUUUAUUGGAAGAUUCAGAUGAUAUAGACUUAAUAGGCGUUGAAUAUUUAGAAGAAGAUACAGAAAACGUAAAAGUUACUAUGGAUUUAACUACUGAAGAUUGCAUUUUGCCAUCACGGAAAAGAACAUUUAUAAAAACUGAAAAUAAUUUUCUAAUCUUAUCAAAUAAAAAAAGCUAAUAACAGAAUAUUUAAUGACGAUAUAGAUAUAGAUGUAGACGAUAUAGAUGUCAAAUCGCUUUUUACAAGCAGAAUAAAUGAAAAAUCAAUUGAAGAUAUAGAAAAUAUAACAAAUAAUA